UAAAAGUUUUAUCCUGGCUAAUAUUUCUUGUUUUUAAGUUGAAGGUACAUGAUAGUGUUGGCGUGACAAAAGGCUCAUUUUAUUUAAUAUAGGGUUAGUUAGUGAAAGGAGAGUGAUCAAUAAAAAGUUAAUUCUCAGUAUUUAGUGCUAAUUUAUAAAUGCAAAUUGGAAUUGGUAAUCUUAAUUUUUUUUUAUCUGGCUAAAAUUUGUGCCAGCAGCCGCGGUUAUACUGAGAGGUAGAUUAAGAAAAGUUUGGUUAAAAAUAAUUAGGUGAUAAUUAGCUUAAAAUUAUUUAUAGAUUCUUGUUAAUAAAGGGUGAAAUCGGUUUUUUAAGAUAAGAAGUGUUGAAGAUGUAAAGCUUAAAUUGAGGUUGUUAAGUUAAAGGUAUGGACCAGGAUUAGAUACCCUGUUACACUUUAUUUAAAAUUUAUGGUACCUGGGUAAUAAACAGUUAUUGUCUUGAAACUCAAAGGAUUUGGCGGUAAUUUAGUCUAUUUAGAGGAACCUGUCCUAUAAUCGAUAAACCACGAAGUAUCUUACCUUAUUUAGUAGAGAUCAGUUUGUAUACCGUCAUUAUUAGAUAACUUUAAUAAAAACUAGUUGUUGUAAUAAUUUUUAAUAUAUUAGAUCAAGGUGCAGCCAAUAAUAAGGUAGAGAUGGGUUACAAUAAAAUAAAUGUAUAACGGAUUAAUAAAUGAAAUUUUUUUUUAUGAAGGUGGAUUUAAUAGUAAGAAUGAUUUAAUAAGUCAUUUUGAUUAUAGCUCUAGAUUAUGUACACAUCGCCCGUCGCUCUCGUUAAUUAAAGCGAGAUAAGUCGUAACAUAGUAGGUGUACUGGAAAGUGUACCUAGAAAUUC
rnacentral:ncRNA from 1 species